CGCGGGAGAGCCGAAAAGGAUCCAAUUGUGUGCCCUUUGGUCUCUUGGAUAGGCAUGUACUACACUUCUGUGUUGUCUUAUGGUUUGUUUAGUUUCGAAAAUUUUUUGGUUUUCGAAACUGUAGCACUUUCGUUUUUAUUUGACAAAUAUUGUUCAAUUAUGAAGUCAUUAUGCUUAAAAGAUUCAUCUCGCAAUUUACAGGUAAACUGUACAAUUAGUUUUUAUUUUCAUCUAUAUUUAGUGCUCCAUGCAUAUGCCGCAAGAUUCGAUUUGACGUGGG
rnacentral:lncRNA from 1 species